CCUGCAGCAUCCAAACUCUGGCAGUCAGCACUUAUCUCAGGUGAAGGAGGGCUGGGCUGCCGCCCUGGUACCAGUGAGCCGAGAAAGAAAGGCAGGUGGGAAUGAUCCAGAAGAUUCUGGAAGGAUAUGGGCAAGGCAGGGGCGGGGCAGUUCUGUUGACUCGUAAGGGCCCCUUGUGGGUCCCAGAGCUGGGUCCACACUGCACAAUUCAGAGUUCUGUGCUUUCACCAAGAGCUCGGGGCAGGGCUUGGCACGGACCUCAUGUGGUGAGCAUGGGAAGGCCAACCCACCAUUAGCGCUGGCUUGAUGGAGCCUCACUGGUUCUGAUCAUGAAACUUGAUACCACUCUCAGGAGAGCAGCAAAUACAACUGUGUGCAGACCAGGACGAGCAACUAAGCCCUGGGCUUGAGGGAAAGUAAACGUCCAGAAGAGGGUUGAAACACGAGGAGCUGGGCCUCUGGUGACAACAGUCUUUGGUAUGUACCUGAGGGCUACCUGUGCUGGACCGGGAUUCUCCAAAGACACAACACAAGAGAAAACCCACACCCAACUUUUUCCCUAAUGAACAGACUAUGGUUAAGUGAAACUCAUUAUAUAAAUUUCUGUGGGAGCCAAAAAAUAAACUCUGUAAAAAAUG